rnacentral:rRNA from 1 species
UUUAUGGAGAGUUUGAUCCUGGCUCAGGAUGAACGCUGGCGGCGUGCCUAAUACAUGCAAGUCGAGCGAACGGACGAGAAGCUUGCUUCUCUGAUGUUAGCGGCGGACGGGUGAGUAACACGUGGAUAACCUACCCAUAAGACUGGGAUAACUUCGGGAAACCGGAGCUAAUACCGGAUAAUAUUUUGAACCGCAUGGUUCAAAAGUGAAAGACGGUCUUGCU